ensembl:lncRNA
AUUCAGCACAGACCGAAGAAAGACUAAGCAGUUGGUCCUUUUUAUUGCAGUUGAAAUCUGGCCCGAUCUGGCAACCCUUUUUAGAAUCAAACACUGAAUAAAGUUCCCAAGACAUGUGGGGAGGUGAGACAGUUUCUGUUUGUAGCACAGGGGUGUUGGGUGUGGGGGUGUCUCCUGCGUGGGCUAGACACAUGGGUCUCCAGGGGAGCUAGCAGGCUACAGGCUUACCUCACUCUUGGUUGAUGAUGGUGAAACUGAGAAUGAGGAAUGCCACAGGACUUCAUUUUUCAUUAAAUUAGGAGCACUCUAAGGUCAAAUACAGCUGUCAGAAACCCAGUUCCAACCGGCUUAAGUAAAAAAGUGAAUCUGUGGGUUCUUGGGGCUAUGAAGUGCCUGAUUCUAGCUUCAGGCAUGGCUUGAUCUAGGGGUCUUAGAUUGGAUACCUUAGAGACAGAGCUUGCAAUGGGGAUUCUUGUGCAAUGAAUUAUUGAGAAAAUGCUCUCAGGAAGAGUUGCAAGGGAAUGAAUCUGUAAGUAGGAUAGAGUGAAAGAAACAGCCAGCGAAGCCUGCUGUUUCAGCUGGAAUCUAGCUUCAGCCUGACCCCACAAGGAGCUCUGGAGUGUAGAUAACAUUACAGAGCUGUCUCACCCCACAAGGAGCUCUGGAGUGGAGAUAACAUUACAGAGCUGUCUCACCCCACAAGGAGCUCUGGAGUGGAGAUAACAUUACAGAGCUGUCUCACCCCACAAGGAGCUCUGGAGUGGAGAUAACAUUACAGAGCCGUCUCAGCCCACAAGGAGCUCUGGAGUGGAGAUAACAUUACAGAGCCGUCUCAGCCCACAAGGAGCUCUGGAGUGGAGAUCACAUUACAGAGCCGUCUCACCCCACAAGGAGCUCUGGAGUGGAGAUCACAUUACAGAGCCGUCUCACCCCACAAGGAGCUCUGGAGUGGAGAUCACAUUACAGAGCCGUCUCAGCCCACAAGGAGCUCUGGAGUGGAGAUCACAUUACAGAGCCGUCUCAGCCCACAAGGAGCUCUGGAGUGGAGAUCACAUUACAGAGCCGUCUCAGCCCACAAGGAGCUCUGGAGUGGAGAUCACAUCACAGAGCUGUCUCACCCCACAAGGAGCUCUGGAGUGGAGAUCACAUUACAGAGCUGUCUCAGCCCACAAGGAGCUCUGGAGUGGAGAUCACAUUACAGAGCCGUCUCAGCCCACAAGGAGCUCUGGAGUGGAGAUCACAUUACAGAGCCGUCUCACCCCACAAGGAGCUCUGGAGUGGAGAUAACAUUACAGAGCCGUCUCAGCCCACAAGGAGCUCUGGAGUGGAGAUCACAUUACAGAGCUGUCUCAGCCCACAAGGAGCUCUGGAGUGGAGAUCACAUUACAGAGCUGUCUCACCCCACAAGGAGCUCUGGAGUGGAGAUCACAUUACAGAGCCGUCUCAGCCCACAAGGAGCUCUGGAGUGGAGAUCACAUUACAGAGCCGUCUCAGCCCACAAGGAGCUCUGGAGUGGAGAUCACAUCACAGAGCUGUCUCACCCCACAAGGAGCUCUGGAGUGGAGAUCACAUCACAGAGCUGUCUCACCCCACAAGGAGCUCUGGAGUGGAGAUCACAUCACAGAGCUGUCUCACCCCACAAGGAGCUCUGGAGUGGAGAUCACAUCACAGAGCUGUCUCACUCUAAGGCAAGAAGCUUGGCCUUUGGUACUUUCGUAUUAGUCUGUCAUUGACUGUGUGCUGUCUCUGAAAUGGAGCACAUAACCUCCUGGGACUUUCUGGACAAAGUGACUUUCUUUGGCUAAAGGUAAUUCUCUGAAAAUUUCAACUGUGAGCUGUUAGCAAUCCUCAGUUACAGUCAGUUCUUACAGAUGGGUGCAGUCUGGUAGCGGGGAUCUGGGCAAGGUAUCAACCUUGUCUACAUCAAGGGGCUCAAGCAAUGACCUAGGGUUUCACCUCUCACCCUACUUCUGAGGUUUACUUCUUGGCUCCAUUCUCAAAUAGCAUGGGGACAAGGUGACCACCAAAGGCCCUGAGCUCUCCUUAUGUCUCCCAUGCAGCUUAUAUAGAAGCCUGAUCUCGCCUGGUGUUAAGUACUGAGUUUCCUGGAUUAGCCCCACAUGACUUCAUGCUCACCUUGCUGUUGGAGACGGUGGUAGUGUCAGCUCUAAUUAAACCUCAAGGAUGUUUCCCCACAAUGGGUUUAUCUUUCUAAAAGAGGGAUGGAUGCUGAAUAGGCAAAAAACAGCAGUGAUCCCCUGCUGGGCUCUGAACUCCUGUUUUAAGUCAGAAGGCAGGGAAUAGCAUGUGUGUGGCUGAAGGAUGCUAAGUAGCACCACACCCUUGGGGUAGCAAAAGUGGGCUAGAUCCCUGGGAGGAGGAAGUUUGGGAGGGAGCAGAUGGGGAGGAAUGAGAAAUACACAAGGGUAGCUCGUGGAGGGCCUCAUGAACUAACAGAGGAGUAUCAACUUGAUCCUGAAAAAUGUGCGUUCGGCUUGAGGUUCAUCUGAGUCUCUACUGUCCUUUUCUUAUACCAUUCUUCCCCCAGGUGUCUGGUAUCAACCCACCAAUAAGGCUAGAGAUUUUGGGCUCAAACCCAGCCAGUGCCAAUAUCAAAGGGACCCAUUUGAAGGGCAGAUUCCAAAGGAUUCCAGGGACAGAAUCUGGUAGCAAGUUUGCUGGGCAGUGGUCCCAUGAACUGGAGAUGGGGAGGAGUCGGAGGGCAUCACCUCUGACGUUUGAGGUCAUUGUCCAUCUAAAACAGAUCUCAGUCCAAAGCUGGGUUGAUGAGAUGUUGACCAAGUCUGAGCAGUCAGUCCCAGAUGGAUUGGGAUCAGAGUCAGCCCCAUCUUGAGGGGAAUAUAUUGUUCUUUUUCAGGAAAUUAAGACAGAAACCCAGCUAUGGGGGUCAGACCAGCUCACAACAGAGAGAAACCGAAGAUUACAGUUCUUCUCAGGGAGCAAGUGGGACUCCAACCCUCUCUCCAUGGGGAGAGACCCAUGAAGGUGCCAGGGGUUAGGAAGAGAGAUAUAUUGGUUCAGGUUACUCUUGCAGCUGUAACAAAUAACCUCCAUCAUUUCAGUACCCUCAUAUGAGUGUUUUCACCAUUUGGAUACUCAAGUUCCUUCUGUCGUGUAGGUCCAUCAUUCCCCAGCAUCUGCAUCUAGGCAGAAGAAGGGAAGAGGGAGAAAGCACACCUGCUUCUUAACCUCCUUGCCUAAGAGAGACACAGAUCACUUUUGCUCAUACGCAAUUGGGGAGAACCGGUCACAUGACUUCACGUAGCAGCAAAGGUAGCUGGGAAUUAUAGUUCCUGCUGGGCUGAAGGCCUCAGGGAGAACUCUUAUAUCACAGAAGGGGAGCUUGCAUUUUGAUGAGCAGUGGCCACCCCUGCCCUGGGAGCCUAGCAGACGCCCUAUCAGAAAGAGGUCUCAGUGAGCCCAGCUGAGGGGUGGGAUCAUGUCUUUGCCCUGCUGACAAGCAGUUCUCCUGUAUACAACUUGGCCCCUGAAAUUGUCUGAAUGGAUUUGAGCACUUUCCAACCCAACAGACUGUGGAAUUGGACUAAGGUGAUAAGGACUCAGUGAAACGUGGAGCCUUGCAAAGUACACAGGAAAAAUAAGUGAAUGCAUGAAAUGACAAUUUCCUGACAGUGGGACCUAGGUUCUGGGAACAGCUUCUGAGUACACAGGGUUUGCGAUAAAUCCGGUUUUUCUCCUGUAGCUUCUGUUUGUGCUCAGGUUGUGUUUGAUCAACUCGAUUUCUGUUUGGAAUCAAGGAUCUUCUCCUGCUCGCUUAUUCCUGGCCUUCUCCUGGAGCCGUAGUGCCUCUGUGUAAGGCUGAAUUCAUAGCCCGAGGACAUUGUCUCAGCAGCUCCUUGUAAUGAUCUAAAUAUAGACGCCUCACCUCAGGUGCAGAGCAAGCAGAGGAGAGACUGCUUUGCAGACUCCUUGCUGCGGCAUCCUUGGUCGAGGGCUGGAGGACAAGAUUCCAGUCUGGGUCUCUCCACUUACUCUGCGAUCUUGACAAGUGACAAGGCCUUUAGCCCUGUUCCUUUAUCUGUAAAACUGGAACAGCCGCCAUGACGAAAAUGGAUGAGUCCAAAAGAGUGUGUAAAAAGUGCUGUGUCAGCAUUAGUGAUCAUGGCAGUGUCCAUGGGUGGGUUAAAGCACAGACUCUGGAGCCAGCCCUCGAACCCUGAUUAGCAUCCAGGCUUUGCUGCUUUCUAACUCUGUGACUCAGUGCAUUGGAUGAUGCCCACCCGCAUUGAAGAGGAUAAUCUCUGCUCAGUCUGUUUGUUCUAACUUGAAUUUCUACUGGAGAUACCCUCACAGACCCACACAGGAAUAAUGUGCUACCAAGUAUCUGGGCAUCCCUCAUCCCAGUCAAAUUGGCACAUGAAAGGAACCAUCACAGUCUGGAAAUAGUUUGUUGAUGGAAAUGUGGGUCUUGCCGUUGUGCCAUGGGAAUCCCUAGCAAGUUUAGUCAUGUACAGCCACAACCACACCUCGAUGCCUACCUUGCCUGGCUGCUGCUGGACACACCCCCAUUUCAGAGAUGUUAGAGUGGGACAAGAAGAUGCAUCUAGACUCAAAUGUGAUAGAUGAACAUGCUGCUCGAUGAGUCUGGCAUAUGCGAAUGCAGAGGAAAUUAACAUGUGCUGCGUGCCCUCUAUGUACAGAUGUAUUAGUUAGCUCAGGCUGCUGUAACAAAUACCAGAGAGUGGGUGGCUUACACAGCAGAAACUCACUUUUUCCACCUAGAGACUAGAAGUCUGAGGUUGGUGUCAGUAGGGCUGGUUUCUUCUGAGGCUUCUCUCUUUGGCUUGUAGAUGAGUAACUUUGGUAACUUCACAGUCUUUCCUCUGUGACACUAGCCGUGUUGGAUUAGGGUCCACCCUAAUGACCACAUUUCAGCUUAAUCACCUUCCCUACCACCAAAGGCAUUCACAUUUGGAGGUCCUGGGGCUUAGGGUUUCAACGUAGGAAUUUGGAGUGAGGGACAAUCAGCCCCUAACACAGGCCCAGCAUGGCUACUUUGUAAACAGGAUCUCCCUUCAGCUAUGCGGUGAUCAAAUUGGGCCUUUAUCUGCAUCUUACUGAUUAAGAAACCCAGGCUCUGAAAGAUUAUCUGUCAAAAAUUGCAUAGCUGGUAGGGGGAAGAUUUGACUUUCACAGCCAGGAGAGGCCUGUACUAUGCCUUUCUUGCAAAUUUCUCCUGUCAAGCUGUGCUUUAUGGAGCCUAAGGGCAUGUCAGUUUCCCAGGGCUGCUGUAGAAAUGGCCACAAUUUGGUGGUCUAAGACAACAGAAAUUUAUCCACUGAGUUUUGGAGGUCAGAUGCCUGAAAUCAGGGUGUCAGCAGGGCCGUGCUCCCUCUGCAGGCUCCAGGAGUGGAUCCUCUCUUGCUUCUUCCCAGCUUCUGGUGGUUACCAGCAUCCCUUGGCUUCAUCCCCAAGAGGCAAGCACUAUCAUGAUCUCCAUUUUGCAGAUGAGAAAACAGAAGCUCAAGGAGAUGAAGCUAGUUAAAGUCACACAACUAGUAACUGAUGGAAAAGGGACUCAAACAAUGGUUGUUUCAUGCUAUGGUGGUGCCUCCCGUUGAUUCAAGAGCUACAGUAAAGAUUACUGCAGAAACAUAUUUACUGCUACUGCUAUUAAUAUCACCCUACUCCUUGUUCCUCCCUCAAUAUGCCAAUAGCACAUGUACAAUAUACUUCAGAAGGGUGAUCACUGUUCAGCAGACAUUCGCUUUCUACAUGCUUCCCUGGGAGGCAUGCAGUUCUUAGCUCUGAUGUUGGGCUUGGCCAUGUAAUUACAUUUGGCCAAUGGAGUGUUCUUGGAUGUGAUAUGGGCCGAGGCUUGAGAUGUGCUUGCGGGUAUGCUAGGACCCUUCUGCUGUUCUCUCGAUCUCUUGUUACCUGCAGGUUUGUGUACACACCCAAGGCCUCCUUCCUUAAGCACCUGCAAUUCUUUCGGCCCCAGAGGUUCUCUGGCCCCAGGAGGGUCCUCAGCCCCCACUUGGGGCAUCUACAAGUGUCAGGGAAUUAAUGUCUCAGGAGUGACUCUCAAGUCAUGAGGGAUGGGAGUUGGUGGAUAAAGCUCACGUUCAGUGAAAUAAUUCUCAAGUGUGUAACACAGAGUUUCCCAAAGGGGACCAAGUCCCAGCAGCUUUCAGAGGCGACCUGCUCAUUUACUGUGUGUUUUACUGGCUUUCCUCCCUUCCACGUCUCCUUCCCUCACUCUCUCAAAGUGCUUCUGGAAUC